rnacentral:rRNA from 1 species
UACGGGGGGAGCAAGCGUUGUUCGGAAUCACUGGGCGUAAAGGGAGUCUAGGCGGUUUGGUAAGUGGGAUGUGAAAUCCCCGGGCUCACCCCGGGACCUGCAUCCCAAACUGCUGAGCUUGAGUACAGGAGAGGGUGGGGGAAUUCCAGGUGUAGCGGUGAAAUGCGUAGAUAUCGUAAGGAAGACCAGUGGCGAAGGCGGGUCUCUGGACAGUUCCUGACGCUGAGGCACGAAGGCCAGGGGAGCAAACGGG